AAAUUUUAUGGUGGAAGAGGUCCACCACGUCAUAGUUGUAAGAGGGUGUCCAUUAAUUGACACUUGACAUGGUGGAUCCCACAUUAAUUUUUUAAAGCCAAUAAAGUGUGAAAGGAUGUGUCCAAAAUACAAAUAAAAUAAAUUUGAAAUGUUAGUGGAUGGUGGGGUCCACAUGCAUUCAUUGCUAUCUUUUGAAAGAAGAAAUUUCUUGAGAAACCAAACAAACACUUGAAAAUUCACGCCUUGUUCUUCCUUUUUCUUUUAACUCAAAAGCCUUGUUAAAAUCAAAACAGACCCACACCUUAUUCUUCCUUUUUCUCAGACCCACGCCUUAUUCUUCCUUUUUCUUUUACUUAAAAGCCUUGUUAAAAUCAAAACAGUUAGUGUUGUUGCUGAUUCAAAGAAAAACGAAUUGAGAUUUGAAAACGAAGAGAAUAUAGGAGAAAACCCCUUUCAAUCUAAUGCAAAAAAGGAUCAAAAAUUGGGUGAAAUCUCCAUGGAUUUUCUUUUGCUUAUUUAAUCAUCCACAAUUUUAGAAAGAAGCAUUAAAUGGAGCAAAAGAAAUGGUGAGAGAUGCAAUUAUUCAAAAUCUUGACAUCAAAAAAAUCAUGUUAUCAUCUUCAAAUACAUUAUAUAUUGCAGAUUUAGGAUGUUCAGUUGGACCAAACACUUUCAUUGCAAUGCAACAUGUUGUACAAGUUCUAAAGGAAAAAUACCAUAAUAACAACAUUCUUGAAUUCCAAAUUUUUUUCAAUGAUCAUGUCACAAAUGAUUUCAACACCCUCUUUCAAUCACUACCCAUCGAUCGAUCCUACUAUGUAUCUGGAGUUCCAGGAAAAUUCCAUUUUAGAUUAUUUCCAUCGGGAUCGAUACAUUUUGCACAUUCUAUCAACUCUAUACAUUGGUUCUACUCUUAUGGAUUUGGUGAAUGAGAUAUGAUUAAAGUGGUGGAGAAAAAUAAUUGUUUUAACAUUGAGAAAUUGGAAUUGACAUAUCCAAAAUCAAAAUUUGUGGAUGAAUCUGAUGCAAAAACUAUAAUUAUAAAUUUAAGAGCUAUUUUAGAAGGAGUUUUGAGCAAUCACUUUGGAAGUAAAAUUACAGAAGAAGCUUGUACAAGAACUAUUCUCAAAAGUGAUGAGAUUUCGACAUGAAUGAAAGUGAAAUGAGAAAUCAUGUCAGUUAUUUGUCGCUUUAAAGCGUAAUAAAUUUCUGUAUUAGAAUCUAUCUUUGUCUAUUUAUAUAGCAUUAUCGAAUUUAGGUCUACGGAGAGAUGAUAUGACACUUCUCAUAAGUGAAGUUUCUUAUUUA